AUCCAACUGACUAGUCCAAAAUAGAACGAAAGGGGCGUCCUGGAU
rfam:Schistosoma rodhaini strain Burundi genome assembly, scaffold: SROB_scaffold0000267